rnacentral:rRNA from 1 species
GACAGAGGGGGCAAGCGUUGCUCGGAAUCACUGGGCUUAAAGCGUGUGUAGGCGGAUGUCUAAGUGCCUUGUGAAAUCCCACGGCUCAACCGUGGAACUGCUUGGCAUACUGGACGUCUUGAGCCAUCCAGGGGUCGCUGGAACAAACGGUGGAGCGGUGAAAUGCGUAGAUAUCGUUUGGAACGCCAAAGGUGAAGACAGGCGACUGGGGAUGUGCUGACGCUGAGACACGAAAGCCAGGGGAGCAAACGGG